CUUAAAAUAACCCUAUUACAAUUUUUUUUGUGUAGUGCCAGGGAUUGAACCCAGGGCCUUGUGCACACAAGGCAACAGCUCUACCACUGAGCCACAUCCUCAGUCUCCGCAUUGCAAUUUCUGAUUAAAACUGCUUUGAAAUUGUAACUUUCAAUUUCCACUUUUUCUAGAAUUUCUUCUUUUCUGUUUUUAACAACAUCAGUUGAAGCACAUUGAGCUAUCAUGCCUUGUGAAGUUAACCCAUUUAAUCAAAAUCUUUCUAUGAAGUAGGAAUCGCACUACUAUCCCUGUUUUACAGAAGGGGAAACAAACACAGAGGCUGAGUAGCUUACCCAGGUCACACAGGUGGUAAGUGGUGGAGGAGAAGAUUCUGACCCAGGUAGUUGACUCCAGAGGCUGACUUCUUAAACAUCUUAUCUUGUUGUAAUUCAGUAUUCAGAAAUCUAGAACAGCCAGAGAAAUAUGUAUAUAAAAAUACUUUUUCUAGGGUAGAAACUACAAUGGGAUAAAAAGCAAAGCCUCGUGGGUCUCACCCCCUCCCCCUUAGCUUUGAAAAUGACAAAUGUCAAAGGAAAGCAGCAGGCUGCAGUCCUUUGGAAUCUGGUAGAGAUCCUGUCUUUUAGUUGUCAGAGAAUUAAAUAAUAUGUAGGGGAAGGUAUAUCACUGUUGAUGGUUACUUAAGUAGUUUCAUUGUUCAAAAAGGGUUACCUUGGGCCAGGGGUGGUGAAUCGUACCUUUAAUCCCAGCACUCAGGAGGCUGAGGCAGGAGGAUCACCAUAAAUUUGAGGCCAGCCUGAGAUACACAGCGAGACUAUCCCUCUGCAUUGCCUUUCUGGCUUUCUGACAAAUUCUGCAUGAUCUCACUUAUGAUGAAUUUUUAAAAAUUGAUCUCACAGAAGUUGAGGACAGAGAGUGGUAUGCCGAGGUUGGGGCACAGAGGACAGGGUGUGGGGAGGGCUGGUCAGCAGGUGGUAAGUCACAGUUCCAGAGGAGACCUAAGUUCCUGUGUGGUGUCGCACAGCGGGAAGACCACAGAUCAUGAUCACGUACUGGACAUUUCAGGAAAAGUUACAAGAAAGGGUUGGAAAGUUCCCACCACAAAGAAAUGACAAAAAUUUGAGGAGUUAGAUCUAUUUACCGGAUGGAACUAUUCCAUGCUAUAUAUGUGUAUUUAAAAAGAUGGGAUCAAAAUAUAGUGAAUGUUUAAAAAUUUAUUACAAUAACAGAUAGUAGCUCCAUUAACCCCUCUCAAAACACUCCCUCUCAUUUUGAACACAUUUGUCCCCUCAUUUUUACUUUUUGAAGCAUUUAUGCAAAUCCUCUUCUGUGAAUGUCUUUAAAGGAUGUGUCUUUAAAAAAUUAUGGGGAACACUGCUGCCAGUGCAGUCCCACAUGAAGGCAGGCUUAUCAGAACAUGAUACUAUGUCCUCCUCCACCUUAUCCACUGGACCUGGCAGUGACUUCUGACUUUCCCCAAAGUCAAAAGGACCCUAAAAGGUCAAUAUUUUGAAGUAAUUCAGAAGAUUGAGGAUGCCAUGACAAGGUAGCUAAAGAUACGCACUAUCGAAGUAGCUAAAGACAACUUCCAGCCCUGCUUCAGAAAAUGGCAAAGACAGUGAGGUAAGUGAGGGGAAGUAGCCAGGCACACUCCUGUAAUCCCAGCACUCGGGAGGCUGAGGCAGGAGGAUCACUAUAAAUUCAAGGCCAGCCUGGGCUACAAAGAGAGCUCAAGGCAAGCUUGAACUAUAUAGUGAGACCCUGUCUCAAAAAAAAAAGAGGGGAUGUAUUUAAGAAGAAUGAAUGCCAAUAUGUCUUUUAUGGUAAUAAUUUUUUAAACUUUAUUUUUGAUCUUUUAAAUAUAGAUUCAAAGCAUCACAACACCUUGUACAUAUAGUUUUUAUGUCAAUUAAAUUUGCAAACAAUGUUCAAUCUAUCAAGCACCUCACACCCAUUAAGAUGGCUAAGUCUAGAGAAGAAACAGAAAACAGGUGUUUGCAAAGGCAGGAAGAGAGUGGAAUCCUUCUGCAUUAUUCGUAGGCUUUUAAAGUGGUUUCUCAAAAACUUAAAAAUAGAACUGUUAUGUGAUUCAGGAAUCCCACUUCUGCAUCUGCAUCCAAAAACCUGAAAGCAGAGUUUUAAGGUGCAUUGGCACACUCAUCUUCAUCGCUAUGCAAGGUGGAGACAAGCCAACUGUCCCCUGACGCGUGUGGGUAAACGAGCGUGCUGUAUAAACACAUGGGCUGUUAUUCUGCCCGUUAAGAGAAAGAAAAUGUGACUCAUGCUAUAACGGGGAUGAACCCUGAAGACGCACUGAGUGAAAUAAACCAGACACAAAAGACAAAUCUUACAUGAUUCCACUUGUAGGGGUAGCUAAUGUAGCCAAAGUCAUGGAAACAAAGUAAAAUGGUGAUUAUUAGCUGGAGGUAGGUGCUGCAGGGGUGUAGAGUUUUGAUUUGGAAAAAAAUAAGUUUCUGGGGCUGUAUUGUGACACAGUGUGAAAAAUGUGUAACACUACUGAACUGUACGCUUUGUGUUGUGUAACUUUUACCGCGAUUUACAGUGGACAAGAAAAGUACAUAGAGGCCAUUUGUGGACUGGGGGCAGAGAGAACAAGGCCACACCAGGAAGCAAACCCAGUCUGGGAACCAGCGCCACACACGGCCACUGACAGACUGGGAACAGACAGACCCCAGUGCUUUCCAAUCGCCUGCUGGCAAACAAGAAGUACUAAUCCCCGCCCCACUCCUGCCCUGGAAGCAAUUUUGAAAUGUUUAAAAGUCCUGUAUCUCUUACACCGAUGUGCUUUGAUUGGUUUUAUUCUGUUUUACCUUCUUUAAAAUAAAAUUUUAAAAAGUACAUGGAGAGUUGAAAUAGGAAUCUAAAUGUGUAUUGUAGAUAGUAGGUAGAUGACAGAGACAGGGAGAAGGGAAGUACUACGUCCAUAGUCAGGACAGCAGUUCUCCUGGGGCAAGAAAGAAAGGCAAAUGUUCUCUUCCCUCCCAGCAGUUAUUGCAGAGGAUGCUUGCGGAGGGACCGAAGUGUGAGCUGAAAGAAAUCGCCAUUUCCUGUCCCUACCCAGGCAGGAGGAAAUCAGUACCAACUUGGGGCACCUGCAUCGCCAGCCUUCACCCUCUUUUCCAUGAGUCUCAGCUCCACUUGGUCAAGGGCACUCUGACCCACAUCGCCAUCUUCUCCAGGAAAAAUGAAAACCUGUCCACAAAAAGACUUGCACAAAAGUGUUCAUCACAACUAUAUUUAUAAAUCUAAAAACGGGGGGACCAGGAAAACAAGUGUCCAUCCUGGGGAGACUGGAGAAACAAACUACAGUGAAUUCAUACACAAAGGACUUGCUGCUCAACAAUGAACAGGAACGAACUACUCUGCACCAUGCAAAGCAACAGCAUGGGUGACUCUCAAGGACAUUUUACUGAGUGAAAGGAACUUCGUACAUGAAUAGGACACACCUUUUUUCCCCAUUUGUAUAGUUUUAUAGUGGCCAAUGAAAUACAUGGAAAAAAACAGACUGGAGAUUGUAUCUGAAGGACCAUUGUGGGGAUUCAUUAAUAGAAUAUCCGAGAGAAUGUUCUGGAACAAUGGUAACCUGCCUUAUCUUGCUAGAGGUUUGUGUUAUACAGAUGAAUUUGUCAAAAUUUAGUAAAUAUUCAUUUAAGAUUCAUGCCUUUCAUGUAAACAUGUAAACAUCUUACAAGAUGUGCCUUUCAUGCCUUUCAUGUAAACAUCUUACAAGAAGUGAAACUAAAUGAGCUUUGAACUGCACAGUUUAUGACUUAUAACCCAUGAGUAUUCAGGGGAAAAAGAUGGCCACGUGAGUACCCUGAAGUAGUGAAGUAGAGAUGGCAUAGAUCUGGAAGCACAUUAACAAACAAUGUUGACAAAGGAAAUGAAAUAAAAAUGUAAGAGUAGA